rnacentral:rRNA from 1 species
AUUGAACGCUGGCGGCAGGCCUAACACAUGCAAGUCGAACGGUAACAGGAAGAAGCUUGCUUCUUUGCUGACGAGUGGCGGACGGGUGAGUAAUGUCUGGGAAACUGCCUGAUGGAGGGGAUAACUACUGGAAACGGUAGCUAAUACCGCAUAACGUCGCAAGACCAAAGAGGGGGACCUUCGGGCCUCUUGCCAUCGGAUGUGCCCAGAUGGGAUUAGCUAGUAGGUGGGGUAACGGCUCACCUAGGCGACGAUCCCUAGCUGGUCUGAGAGGAUGACCAGCCACACUGGAACUGAGACACGGUCCAGACUCCUACGGGGGGCAGCAGUGGGGAAUAUUGCACAAUGGGCGCAAGCCUGAUGCAGCCAUGCCGCGUGUAUGAAGAAGGCCUUCGGGUUGUAAAGUACUUUCAGCGGGGAGGAAGGGAGUAAAGUUAAUACCUUUGCUCAUUGACGUUACCCGCAGAAGAAGCACCGGCUAACUCCGUG